rnacentral:misc_RNA from 1 species
CAACCUUUAGUUUUAACUAAUGUUGAGAAUUGCGGCGAGCGCAGUUUUCUAAAGAAAUUGGCAAGCAAAUGUAAAGCCGCGUGUAGUAAAUUUUCUCACUUUGGUUUUACAUUUGACUUUUGUUUAAUAUAAAGU